AGCCAUGUAUCAAAAAAAGCUUCAGCUUUGGGUUGUUGAUUUAGCAGCAUCAAUCAUUAAUUGUUCUGCUAUAUAUGUUCUUAACCAUGACAACCUGAUUAGGCUCUUAGUUUAUUAUGGUCUUUGUUCUGGGUGGAUCUCUGACUAUUCUGGGUGGGCAUGAAUCUCUUCUUUGUUUCUUCAUCUCCUCUUAUUCUGAUUCCUGCGUUUGUUUUAUGUGAAGGUUGCUCCGAUGAGGACAAGCUGCUUCUGCAGGUGGACGGGCCCUCAAGGCUGCUCUGCCUAUUCCUCCUGCUACCCCCACAUGUGGUGAGCCCCACCCGUUCUCGAGCUACCCCUGCAAAUCUGAUGUGAUGUGCACAAAAUACUUGCAAUUGUUCUCGACACAAGAGCAUGUCAUGUAUUGUUCUAUUUGAAUGUGCAAUUUCAUUACUUCUGUGUUGUUUGAUGCUUGCUUCACAAGAGGGAAAUCAUGGAUAUAAACUGCGCUUCCUUUCAAGUUGAAUAGUAAUGAUCACCAUUUGGUUCCAUUUUCUCCUCUGCAUCCAGUGUUCACUCUCUCAUAGAUGUCCAUAUAUACACAGUUCUGAUCUCCUUUUUUCUGCGGCUCCAUACAGCGAACACAAAGCCGUCGAUGCAUUGAGGGCUCAAUGUCGUCUCCGCCGGCUGAGCGGCAAGCCGGUGUUGGGCCUGCACACCGUCUAUCAGCACCCUCCCGUGUCUCCAUUCACGGAUCUGCAGGUCAACCCCUCUUCUCCUCCUAUCCAUGCAUCUUCUUGUCCAGAGCUGGGUGUAUGGUUGCAUGGCAAUUUGUGUUUUGGGGCUUACCAUGUUCUGCUUGCCCUGGUUGGCCAAUGAGGCUUUCCUUUUCUGGUAAAGGGCAAAUGUACUAUUCUCUAUGCUUUAUAUUUUUGUAGUUCCUUUGUUUCCAUGCUUGUUUUUUGAUGGGGUGUAAAUAUAUGCUUUUUUUUCCUUGUCUGGAUUCAGGUAGGGCCUAACAUUAUUGUUCCUUUGUGCAUGGAAAUGUUGGUGGUUUUGUUCCUUUGUGUAUGGAAGGGGGCCUUGAUUAGAAUUUCUACUGUUUGAGUUGUAAUUAGUGUUUUUGUUACACAUGAAAACAUAUGGUUGUUUGUCCAAUCACAUAUGAAAAAGAGAGGAUUGUUUGUGCAACAAUUUUCUUUCUCUGUGAUAGUUUUACUAGAAAUAAAGCAUAGUCACUAUUACAUCCUAUUUUAUAUCUUGUUGUGUCGUGAUAUCUGUAUAGACUCUGUCUACGUCCUUUUGACAUUCCAAGUUUUGUUUUUCUAUGGCUCAAUUAGUUACCCCGUAUCAAGAGAAAUUUAAUUGGUAUUUGCGGUAGAGUUAGCUGAAUUCAUGAAGCAAUGAUUUAGUUAUUAUUAAAGCUGAAACACAACAUGUUUUGACAAAUGCGUUCUAAGUAAAGCCUCCAACUAACAUAACCAAAAACAUAUUCUUUAGGUUUAUCAUCUAUUGAAGUAUUAUGUAGAAUUUAAAAUCAUAUGAGGCAAAGCAAAUGAGCUCUAUGCACUUUCCAUGUAGCACAGAACAAAAAUAAUCAUAUAUAUUUUGGAUGCACCUAGAUAUACUCAUCAGCAAGGCUGAGGUUAUAGGGCACUCACCCACAUUGUCGAUAUCUCAAUCACUAUGAUCACCCACAUGAUGGACAAUUCCCUUCUUUCUUUUCUCUGUGGCUAUUGACACUUAAUGCUAUUACUGUGUGCAUAUAUGUACUGUGAUCCAUUCUCAUUCUUCAUAUCUUGAGAAACUAUCUCAAGAUACUCGCAUUUGUGUUUUGGAGAAAGCCUAUUCUAUGAUUAAUAUAUCGAGUAUGGAUGGAGCGAUAUCACCUCUCUUUAUGAUGAUGUUCUUACAGAAUAUAGGUUUUAUGGUAACAAGUCUUAGCCAACACCUAUACUGAUGCUCAGACCAGAUGAUUAUAGUCUCUCCUUGCUAUUUUUCUUGAGGUGUGUACAUCUAUCUAGACAAUUUAAUUAAAAUAUAUAUUCCAUACAAACCAUCAAUACAUGUUAGUUGACUUUGAAACUAAUCAGUAAAAAGGUUGUCCCUUUCGCAUUUUAUGGACAUAAAGAUUUGGUGUUGACUGUCGAUCUUUAGUUAACACAUGACCUUACAACCGUAGGGAGUGGGAAAAAACUUAUAUGUUUGGCACAUUUGAAGAACCUAUCAUAGUAACAAAGUUUUGGUAAACAAUGUCCUAGAUCUCAACCAUAUAGAAAUACUAAAUAUAUGUUUAUUUGUAUAUGGAUUAAUUAUACAGACUUAUAAAACCUUGUGCAGGGCACAUAAAAGAAAUUUGAAAUAACUAUUAUUUCAAUAUUUGCUUUUUCAGUUGAGCAUAAUAGUUUAUAGCCUGAUAGGCUUGGACAUAAUUGUCUACAUGUACUGCUCAGUAGGCGACAUCCUUUGGGAAAUUGAGGAUGUCCUCGUGCAUUUUCUAAAUACAAUUGUGGCAGAUCUGAGGAAGGAGGGGAGGAAUAAUCUCGCGGGAGAGUUCGGUGUAGUGGAAGAAGAACAAGAUAUUAUUUAUUUCUUGUGAACAGUCAAGCUUGUGCAUUGUCCCACUGUAAGUUAUUUCAACAAUAGUAGUAACUGUUAUCUCUGGCCAUCUGUCGCGACAUUUUCUUUAACCACCAAUGCAUAUUUAUUUUCUUGUUAAUAACUCUCAUAAUUGCCUGCUACUGUUUCAGUUCUGGGGCCAGGCAACCUUGAAUCCAACGUCCACCUGCAGGCUACAUCUCAGGUAGGAUAAAAAGAUUGCAGUGAACUUGAUGGGUAUAUCAUUAUUGUUGCCUCCUAAUUUGUGUGAUGAGCAAAUGUGUAGAUUGUGUGUAAAUCCGAGAUGCCUAAAACGGUUGGGAAGUGAACUUGUUACCUCGGUUCAGUUUAAUGGCAUGUUAAACUCGAUGCACUUUCUGGACUAUGACAUUUUUCCUGAAAUUUUGGAAGUGACUGCUAAUGUAGUCUAAAUAGAGUGACUGAGUAGUUACUUUCUCACAAGAGUUGACUUCCCGUUAUUACUACUUGCUAAGAUGGAUUGGUGGUUUUUAUGUUAGAUGAAAAAUAUUACAUCAAUCUUUACGGCUUUUUAUGGGCAAGUGAUUCCGACUCCAUAAUAAGGAAUAAUAUAGCCCCAGUGCUGUGAUAAUGUUAAAACAUUUACCUCUUUUAUCGGUUCAAGUUAUGUAUUUGCUGCGAAAAAAUGGUCUUAUAUCAAAUAAUAGCCUAGAGCUUUUGGAGUGUUAUUACUUGUAUUUGUUGCUUGGAUGUAUAAACCUUCAGCAGACUGUCAGUUUUGCUUUUAUAUAAUCUGUUUGUUUAAGUCUUUUGCAUUAUCAACUUUUAACUUUUGUCAUUUGUUAACACAUUCCUUUUGCAUUAUCAACUUUUAACUAUUGUCAUUUGUUAACAUGAUUAUUUAGCAUGUUCACUAUGCGAGUAGUAAUAAUAGGAGAUAUUUAUUUGCCAGAUAACUAACACUAUUCAUAAGGCAUGAGGGUUAGAAAAAGAACUGUAUUCUUGCUGUGAUGAUUUUCGUAUGGCACACUAUGGAUUCUUUGUAUAACACAUACUGUCGAUCAACAUGUGUUUACAACGCAGGGAGGAGCCGGGCGACAAGGCAGUCAGACCAAACUCUCUAUCCAUAUAUAUAGGUAGUCUGAUGUUAUGCCAUAGCCGAACCAUAUAUGUUUCGUGUACUGCUCUAUCAAUCUGGUCUUUUUGUAUAUUAGACUCUAUCCAUUGUAAUGAACUUAUUGUCAUGGGCGAUCAUUAUGACUGGAUCGUAUGGUAUGAAUCGGGUCUUUAUGCUUUGUGAUGAAAUAUAAUAUUAUCCUGUUCACCA
rnacentral:lncRNA from 1 species